GCAAACAAAACAAGACUUGCCUUAUAAACGGUGCCAAAUCCUCCUUGUCCAAGCUUGUUAGCCUCCGCAAAGGACCCUGUUGCCUUUUCAAGGAUGUAGAUGCCAAUCAACACUCCAACGACUAAAACAGCAACAGAGCUCACCAGUGAGACUACAAUUGCUACAAUGGUGCCUGCAGAGUGGGUGAAUGGGAUUUCCACAUUAAGUUUGAACCAGCUUGAGCUUCUGCAUUUAAGAAGUCAACAUUAGAGUAUCUCAUGAAACAACCUGUGUUGAGGGCUCUUGCUU